CCUGCACUCCUUGUGUUCCCAUUCAGUGACCAGCACUGAGCAGACUCACCAUGGAGCUGGGGCUGAGCUGGCUUUUCCUUGUUGUGCUUUUACAAGGUGUCCAGUGUGAGGAGAAGCUGGUGGAGUCUGGAGGAGGCUUGGUGCAGCCUGGAGGGUCCCUAAAACUCUCGUGUGUGGCUUCCGGAUUCUCCUUCAGUGGUUACUACAUGAGCUGGGUCCGCCAGGCUCCAGGGAAGGGGCUGGAGUGGGUGGCAGGAAUAAGUUAUGAUGGAAGUGGUAAAUACUACCCAGACUCUGUGAAAGGCCGAUUCACCAUCUCCAGAGACAAUUCCAAGAACACCGUGUCCCUGCAAAUGAGCAGUCUGAGGUCUGAGGACACGGCCACGUAUUACUGUGCAAGAGACACAGUGCAAGGACUUCAGUGUGAGCCCGGACACAAACCUCCCUGCAGGUUGCUCAGGACCAGCAGGGGGCGCUGA